UGGAGAAGCGCUUUGUUUGUACGCUGGGAAUACGCAUUAGGGCGCGCAACUCUAAUCAACGAUUGAGAAAUUAAAGGAGAAUACCGUAAAGCCGUAUAUGGCUGCGAUAGGAUUUAUUGGUACUCAUUUGAGAAAACACAGUAAAGCUCUUUAAGUAUAUGAAUCAAGACACGUGCUACAUUGUUGUUUGUAGAGAUGUUUGAAAAUUGAUCGAUGCUGGUAAACAAAAGUAUGGCUGCUCUAAUUUGAGUUUCCUAAAGGUUACCUUACUAAGCUAACUUAUCUAUAUAAAAUUUCCAAACGGUAUGAGAAAUUCAAAAAACACUUGGUAUGCGUUGUUGGAAAAAUCAAUCAAC